GACGAACCGUGCAAACGUUAUUCGGAAUCACUGGGCAUAAAGGGCGCGUAGGCGGCUCCAAAAGUCAGGGGUGAAAUCCGGCAGCUUAACUGUCGCAGUGCCUUUGAUACUGUGGAGCUAGAGGGAGGUAGGGGUCUGUGGAACUUCCGGUGGAGCGGUGAAAUGCGUUGAUAUCGCAAGAACACCAGUGGCGAAGGCGGCUCACUGGCCCGAUACUGACGCUGAGGCACGAAAGCGUGGGGAGCAAACGGG
rnacentral:rRNA from 1 species